rnacentral:tRNA from 1 species
GAUGAGUGGUUAAAGCACUCAGCUGCUAACUGAAAGGUUGGUGGUUCAAAUCCACC